rnacentral:lncRNA from 1 species
GUCCGGUGAUGGUGGGUUCGAUGAUGGUAGGUUUGUUUGUCAUUGCUACCAGCUAUAAUGAAGAGGAGAUCAGAGCAUCCGAUUUUGUGGUGCAGCAAUAUGAAAUUUUUGUCAGUUUGCUGAUCAGUACCACGGUUCGGUGCUGGUUAGAUCUGCUUGCGGUGGUUUUCAUGUCAUCGUCAUAGCCGUGAUGAGGUGUUGCGAUGGUGAGACGUCGGUGAUGGUGGUGAAUCUGCUUGGUGGUGAUGAGGUGUUGCGGUGGUUUUGAUGUUGGGGGGUUUUAGGUAGCUUUUGUUGGUUGUGCAGGUAAAGGUACGAGCAACGAAUGGUGAAUCUAACGGUGGUUUUUGUGUGGUGGUAUAAGUAGAGGUGUUGACGGUG